UAAUAGUUUAUACAUAAAUAAUAAUAAUAUAAUAUUUCUAUAAUAUCUCUACAUGCAAUUCACAUUUAUAUGACACUUGAUCUUCUUAUUCGGGGUAUCAACUUUGAUGAUUUAAUAGGCAUUGACUAUUCUGGUUUUCGUAGUGUACAGUUGGUUUACGUUGGCUUCGGCUUGUCACUUGUCGCCAUCUUGAUGUUUCUUCCUGCUACAUGAAGGUAAGUUGGCUUUUUAACAUUAGAAGUUAUUUAUUCUCUUGUUUCAUCAAUAAGAAAGGUGUUAAAAAAUGGUUUCUAAAUUUUUUAUUUCUUUAUUUUCAGGUGUUGUUGUUCGAAGUGGAUACUCGUCUGCGAAAUAAGUGUGUUGCCUGGUGUUUGUUUGUACGCCCUCAUGAAUCGUGAGAUUUCUGCCAUGCGGCGCUCCACGGGGUUCGAACUAGGAGAAUAUGUGGAAGUUCGAGAUAUUUUUAUAUCAGCCAGGUCAAGUAUUCUUUUCCAUGGUUUGCUACAAAAAUAUGAUGCAUUAUCUGAUAGGAUGCGCUUAGGUUUUCCUACUUGCGGAGUCCACUUAUUCACUAUGCAAUUUGCUAGGACUUCCCCUGUUAGCUUACCGAUGGGAAAGAACAUGGUGUAUUUAGAGAAUGUGCAUGUUAAUACGAAUAUAUAUUUCUUCCCAUGUUGUGCUAGGGGUAGAGGACCAUAAAUGUCGGCUGAUACUAACUCCAAUGGGGCGGUCGGCAAUAUAGGUAUCAUUGCUCCUCUGACUUGAUAUUUUAAAUGUUUUGUUUUCUGACAUAGGUCGCAUGCUCUUAACACUUUGACUACCUUUUUGUGCAUACCUUUCAGAUAACAGGCUUCUUUUAGUGUACAUAUCGUUUUUCUUACUCCAAAGUGGCCAAUUCUCUCAUGUGUUUCCUUAAUCACUUCUUCCGCUAUUUCCUUAGGUAUUAUGAUUCUCCAAUUAUAACCUUGUGGUGUGGUGCGGUGAAAUAGGAAUCCACGGUAUCGUGUGUACUGUCGCAGGUAGUGGGGCGUUUCAGAUGGUACUUCCUCCAGUAUUUC